UCUUCACUUUCAUAGAUAGUUAACAAUUUGAUCACAUUUUUAGGGUUUCACUCUCAUCAAAUUUAUCAUCAAUUUGUACUAUGAGUUUCACAAAUUGCUAAAAGAAAAAAAAAUUAGUGAAAGGAGUUUCCAGUUUAAUGGCGAACACUAAACCUUCAUUCGCACUUGAUGGAGAUGGAGUCGAAGAAGCGAAUGGAUAUCAGAAGUAUGAAACAGAGCUUUUUGAGGAUACUUUAGUUAUUCGCAGUCCCUUCACAGAAACUGAGGUGGAAAUGAUCAAUUUGAAUGAUACUGAGAUUGUAGAGGAUUCAGAACCUGUAGAGGAUAUGACAAUUGAUGCAAAAUGUGAGUAUGAGACAGAAGUGGUGCUUGAUAGUGAGGACGAAGAAAUGAAUAAUGCAGGCAAAGUGACUGUUGGUGAAAGAUUUCUUCAGGAUGAAAGUAGUCCAGCAGUAAGCAAUUUGUCGGUGCUCUUCAGGAAGAGAUUGUCUAAGAUACCGUGUGAGCAAGCAAAUUCAAAAUCAAAUGCCGUCUCUUCUGGGAAAUCUGGUACUGGGGACGAAAGAGCUUCAAUUAAUGCUGAGAACUUUGAUGACAACAACCAUCUAUAUCACUCACCAGAGCCUGAGGAUUCAACCCUAGCGGCUUUAGGCUUCGUGGAUCAGUACUUGUCAUCACUAGAUAUGGACCUGUUUCAAGGAGUUCAAAAUGGAAAGAUCACUAGGGAGAAAUCACCUCAUGUCUCGAGUGCAAGAGGAUCAUUAAAUCUGGCUAAGAAACUUUACGCUCAAACUCAAAAUGAAGAUAAAGACCCUUUCAAAUGGGCUGAAAGUGAUCAAAGUAAAAAAGAAGCUGGUAUUUUCAGUAAAAAAAUUGAAGCAUCUUUCAAUUUUGGAAGCCCCGGAAUGACAUAUAAGAGAAGAAUACAAAAAAAAGGUAGUCAUUCUCAAAACCAAGGUAAAUGUGGUGCAAGUAAUAGAUGUGAUGAGAGUUUAGCCCGAGAACCAAGAAUAGCAGCUGACAAUAAUAACUCUCUCAAGGAAUUGGAUAAUGAGUCCUCUUCCCCAAGAGAGAAUGUUGAUAUUUAUUCUAACGUAGCACGUACAGAAGACGAUUAUGAUAUUGGCUUAGACACUCAAAUAGCUGCUGAAGCUAUGGAUGCAUUAGCCAAUCUACCCCCUGCUGGCUUUCAUUUCAGUGAUGCUCACCGAUCAGAGAAUAUGUCUGAUGCAUCUCUGAGUGAUUUGAAACAAGCCCAUCAGAAAAAUUCUCCAUUUAAAGAGAAUCCUGGUUCACAGCCUUUUGCACUAAAAACCUACAAGAGAAAUGUGUCUGCUUGUAGAUUUAGAAAAGUAACUUAUAGUUCCUCAUUUGAGCACUAUAACGAUCAGGAGGAGGGGAUUAUUAGACAUAGGAGGAAGGGAAAUUGUUUAGCGGCGGCAUAUCCAGGGAAGAUAGAUGUUAAGAAAAAACAUCUUGAUUUGUUUACUAGUACAUAUGGUGUGGCUAAGAAGAGCAGUAUGAACCAUCCGGUUGAAGUUAGUCCACAACUAUUUGCAACGAACAGUUUUUCAAAGACUGAUUCUUGGGCUUAUCCAAAAGGACCAAGAGGGAAAAGAAAGCGAGCUAAUGCUCCUAGAGUUUUGUGUGUCAAUGAUAAAGAAAACAAUGUCUAUUCCACUAGAAGUCUAGAAAACCGCGAUGAUCUUAAGAAAAAACAUAUUAAUUUAUCUUCUUGUUCAUAUGGUGUGGUUAGAAAGAGCAGUUUGAACCAACAGGUUGACGUUAGUCCACAACAUGCAACCAGCAGUUUUUCAAAGAUUGAUUAUUGGACUUAUCCAAAAGGAUCAAGAGGGAAAAGGAAACGAGCUAAUGCCCCAAGUGUCGUGUGUAUUGAUGAUAAAGAAAACAAUGUCUAUUCCACUAAAAGUCUAGAAGGUCGAGAUGAUGUGCAAAAAUCUUGUCUUCCACCAGUUUCAGCUGGUGAUGCUAUAAAAUUUGAAAACCUGCAUGAUAUGCAUCCCUUGUUGCUGGCACAUGUUGAAGUAUCAUCAAACAAGUGUGUUGUACAGUUGAGUUCAGAAGUUUCAGCUUCAGUUGCUCCAAGUGAAGGCAUACAAAUUUCCAAUGCUAACUGCAAUGAGCAUCACAAAAAGGCAUGUGAGAAAAACCGGCCAAAGUCUUCACUUUUGAAGGAACUUGUCAGAUUAGGAGUUCCCAAAUCUACGUCAGAAAUUAUGAGCAAAGAUCCGAGACCUCGAAAAGAUAUGACAAAUGUUCGAGUUCUAUUUAGCCAACAUUUGGAUGACACUGUCCUCAAGCAACAACAGAAGAUCUUGGCGCGUCUUAAUAUAUCUACUGCGUCAAGCUCAAUGGAAGCCACUCAUUUCAUAGCAGACAAGUUCACACGUACAAAGAAUAUGCUAGAAACAAUGGCUCUUGGGAACUUAGUAUUGACACACUUAUGGCUUGAAAGUUGUGGACAAGCCAACUGUUUUAUUGAUGAGAACAAUUAUAUUUUGAGGGAUAUGAAAAAGGAAAAGGAAAUAGGCUUUAGCAUGCCAGUUUCUCUUGCUCGAGCAAGACAAAAGCCACUCUUGAAGGAUAAACGAGUCUACAUAACACCACACAUCAAGCCUAAUAAGGAGGUGGUUGCAAGCUUGGUUACAGCUGUUCAAGGCCAGCUAGUGGAUCACAAUCAAAUAGUUGCAGACAAGAAUGAUAAUAUCUUAGAUGAUCUAUUGAUUCUUUCUUGUGAAGAAGACUUUGCAAUAUGCCGCCAUUUCCUUGAGAGAGGAGCUUCUGUUUACAGUUCGGAGCUUGUUCUGAAUGGAAUUGUAAUUCAGAAAUUGGAACUCGACAGUUGCCACACUUGAAGUUGUGUCUGAACUAGGUACGCAGUGAAGUUAUAUCAUCUCUAAAGUGAAGAAAUAAGGCUGGCUAUAUAUUUGCCCUUCAACAUUAGUGUGUUAAGACCACAAUGCACUUAAGGGUGAAAACACUCUUGUUCACUUAGAUAAAUUCGCUUUGAACUUUGUAUGUAUGACUUAGGAGUCCAUUAUUGAGCCUUGGAGAACAAGAAAAAUGCAUGGCAUAAACUGUUCGUGAAUCAAGUUUCAAAGAAUAAACUAGAUUGACGAACGGAUGCUACUUGCUCAGAGUAUCUUACAAAUGCAACUUAGACUCCUUACUUUACGUUGCUUUGAGGCAUGCUCAACUUAAAGUGUCUCAAAAUGACAGGAAUUAUGGAGUAUCAACUCACCUCCAUUCAAAUCUACAAUUAUCCGCUUCAGUAAAUUCAGUAAACUCUCAUUAGAAUGUGAUUGUGAUGCCGAGAAAUGCAUAUCUAAACAUACACUUAUUUACCUUUUGGUGGGGCUAAGUUCUAAUUUGUGAAGUCUAAAGAGUGAAACUGUUCAUUCUUAAACUUAUAUUUUUAUCUAUUGAAAUCAUUCAAUAUUUAAAGUUACGUGAAAGGU